CCUACACUCAUCACAGGCCAAAGCCCAGAAAUCACCCUCCCCACUGCAGACCAAAGAGCAAAUCACCGCCAACAAGGCUCCAAGACUCCCCGGAGUGUCCUGCUCAGGGUAACUGCAGGAGGCUCCAGGAUGAUAUGCAGACCCACUAGAUCAGAACAGCCUGAAUCCCUGAGUGACUGCAUGGAAGACAGCUGCCCUGGAGGAUUGCCCAACCUAGAGCCAACUUUACAGGAGUGAGAAAUAAAUAUUCUGAGUAUUGAGAAAUAAAUGUUUACAGAGA